rnacentral:rRNA from 1 species
UCUGACACAGGUGCUGCAUGGCUGUCGUCAGCCCGUGUCGUGAGAUGUUGGGUUAAGUCCGUACGAGCGCAACCCUUGUCCUUAGUUACCAGCACGUUAUGGUGGGCACUCUAAGGAGACUGCCGGUGACAAACCGGAGGAAGGUGGGGAUGACGUCAAGUCAUCAUGGCCCUUACGGCCUGGCUACACACGUGCUACAAUGGUCGGUACGAAAGGGUUGCCAAGCCGCGAGGUGGAGCUAAUCCCAUAAAACCGAUCGUAGUCCGGAUCGCAGUCUGCAACUCGACUGCGUGAAGUCGGAAUCGCUAGUAAUCGUGAAAUCAGAAUGUCACGGUGAAUACGUUCCCGGGCCUU